UCUUGCUUGCUUUUUUGCUGUUUCACCAUUACACUGGCAGCACUGGGGCACUCUGCCAGCUUCCCCCCACCCUCCAAAUAGUAAAUGUCCUCUGGUUAAUGUGAGGUGGCUGUCUGCUGAGGAGCCAUAUGGCUGAGAUGCGUCUCCCACGAUUGCAAAGGUGGUCUUGUCCGUGCUGAAUCUCAUCAGGUGAGGUAAGAAAAACAUCCAGGGCUCUGUGAUUGGUUUAGAACACCUUAUUGCACAGAUCACCUCAAGCUUCUGUUCAAAAAGGUGAAGAUAUGGUUACAGUGGGUGUCUUGGAGAUAAGAAGGUGACACUGGAGAGGUCAGGUGGAGUCCUACAUCCUCCAUGCCUGGAGAAACAGCGCUGUGUCUAAGCUGAGCUCUUGUAGGAGAUAGCUGCCUAUGGGUACUGAGCCCUGGGUUACUUGGCCAAAGAGGUUCCUAAGAAUUUGGGUUGCUUGCUAAGAUUUGCAGUUGAGCAGGUAGUGCUGUGUUGUUGCAGAGCACAGGAUGCAGCCAAGGGCCCCACAGGAGUGGGGCUGCACCACCAUAGCUUGCCAGCCCCUCCAUGCCCUUCCCCCACGCAGCUCCUAGCUGGGCAUGCUGGGCCUUGGAACUUACCAGAACUUACCCCUACCAACAAACAGUGGUCAUGGAGUGAUUUCACCAAGUCAGUCAGUUUAGCCAGGGUUCCAAAAGUUAAAUGCGCUGGCAACAUUUUUCUCCUAGGUUUGUAGGUGAGAGAUACAUAAAUAAGUGACUUCAGAGCUUAGUGUGUACCUCCUGCUGCAAGACACAAGACCUGCAGGUUCUCAGCUUUAGGCAUUAGUCACAACUGGAGAUAGCUCUGCGGUCAUGCUGGCUGGCUGAGUAAGAGAGAUGAUGGCUUUAUUUCAGCUUCCUUGCUAGGAAUCUCAGAGCCAGGCUUCCCCAUCUGUGCAAGAGAACCUCUCCCAAACCUGGCUUAUCUCUCUGAUUCCUUGUUAUUUUAGCUUUCAGCCUGUGCUCGCUUCACUUCAGCCCUGUGAGCACAUUGGCGUGUGGUGCUCCUGCAGUGUUAGAUGCUGCAUCAGUGGUAUCGGCGCGUCCUCCUCCACCGCUUCCUUCCCCUCGCCCCAGCUCUGGCUGCCCCGGUGCAUCUGCAGCGUCAUCAUCACUGGCUGCAACAAAACUGGUGUUGCUGCCUCACCAGCCCUCCCGAGGAAGUCAUUUUUCUCCUAGCUGAGGAACAGCUUCCAGGUGCCUCACUGCUUCAAAGCCCACAUUACUGUUUUUCAAGUCCAAGUUGGCUAGGGCCCUGGGCAGUCUGAUCCAGUGGGUGGCAACCAGCCCAUGGUGGGGAUUGGAGCUUGCUGAUCUUUGGUCCCCUCCAGCCCAAACUGUUCUGUGAUUCUGUAAUUCUGUGAUUUUUUUUACCUAAUACUGACUGUUUGUGCUCUGACUUCAGAAUUUUGUUUUAAAAAGAUGAAUUUUCUUUGCAUUCAACUCUGCCUCCCUGAUUUUCCACUUACUCCUAAACCUCAGAGGGAAAAUGUGUCUUCCUUCCCCCCAGACUUGGUUUUCUCUUCAGCUGGGACUGAUUUAAUAGUAAGUGGGCUGUUAUGCUGCACUUCCAAGAUUGCUCAAAAGAUGUUGCAGAAAACUGAGCUGUAAUGAAACAGAAAACGAAUUCAGAAUAGAACGAAUAACCCUUUCUUCAACCUCCAGUUAGAAAAAGAGAUGAUUCACUGUAGAAAGUCUAGAUGAAGUUUCUCCAAUUCAGUUCUUGUUUAUUGUCUGUGAGGCGGUGCCGUACUUGUCGUUCUGGCAAUGUGGUAUUGCUUUACUUGAAAAUGGCCUAGUGGCUUUAUUGAUUCAUUCAGGAAGAUGGUUUUAUUUUGUUGGUAAAUUAAAAGUCUGUUUUUGCUUAUAUCAUCAAGAAUGUGGAGCAUACUUUAUGUUUGAGACCACAGAGUAUUUUGGAAAAUGUAAGUAAAGGUAUAAUAAGUUAUGACAAGUAAUACAAUAAAGAUACAGCACAAUUAAAGACGGCACUUGGAAAUCUGUGUGAAAACAUACACUGUUCACAUCAGCGUUCUGUCAACUGUUGUAUUCUCAUGCUUUCCUCCAAGAGGAGGGCCCCAAAAGACCACUGUGGUAGAAGCUGAGCUGUACGCAUUAGCUGCACAGAGGCCCAGUGGCCAUUUUGGGGGCUGGGGGACACCGCUUGGGGCGGGGAAGGGAAGUUCUUGGAGCUCACAACAAAUUGCAUGGGAUUUAAACAGAAGUUUUAAGUGCGGCUCUUUAUUUUGCAUUUCCCUAACAGGAUUUCUUCAAAAUUAUUCCAAAAAAGACUGUGAGUUAAUCAAGCACAGUUGCUGAGAAGCGGCCCAUACUCCUCUGGAGCCCCGUGGCAGCCCCCACAGCGUGUUCCCUGCCAGCCCCCAGCUCUGCAGUUUUCAACAGAAAUGCAAACUGAAAAUCCAGCUUUGCUGGUGUUGAGGAGGGUUCCAGCUGGAAAUACACGUUGAAGCAUCAGAACUGCAGCUGUCCAGGUGGAAUUGCAAAUGCCAGGUAAGAACCCUGACUCCCUCCCAGCAUGAAGAGGUACAGGGAU
ensembl:lncRNA